AAUUUAUGGUGUGGGCAUUUAUGCAACAGCUCCUUGAAGUUCUCCCAUGCUUCACAAAAUUUGUCAUUGUCCUUCUUUUUGUUGGAAAUUUUAAUUUUCCCUUUUCAGGUU